GAUAGCAAAGGAUAAUUUUUUUUUCAAGGAUAGUGUUUGGGAUAAUAAUGUGGUUAACAAAAGAUGGCCUAAAAUCAUCUCCUAAUCCUUGGCACAACAACAACCUCGACACAGAAACCAUGACAAGUUCUAGAAGAUCACCACAUGCAUGACAAAACUCACAACAAAGAAUAAACUGUGUAUGAUAAACAGUUAUGGCUCAAAUCCUCAAGAUUUAUUCAACGUCUAAAAGUCAAGGUCAAAAUCACUCUAGAAUUAUGCAAAUUAGUUCCAAUUAUUCUCAAAUCAUUAAAGAAAAUUAAAUUCAAUAUUUUUCACAGAAAUCAUCAUUGGCAUCUUACCAGAAAUCUAAUGGAGCAAUAAUCAUCUCAAAAACAAAACAAACACACACCACCAACCAAGCAGGAUAAAACAAUAAAGACAACAAAAAUAAUAAAAGUGAUACACAUAUCUAUUCUUAUCCCCCUCCCCCAAACUUAUUACAGAACAUAUGUUCGAAAAUAAGUUUGGAGGGAUGAUGAUAUGUGUGUCACUACUCACAGAAAAACAUGCUCCAUGGUGGUGAUAUGGACAAGUCACGAGUUCCUGCAUCUUCCAAGCUCAACACUGCACUAAAACCCCAA
rnacentral:lncRNA from 1 species